rnacentral:rRNA from 1 species
UGGGGAAUUUUGGACAAUGGGCGAAAGCCUGAUCCAGCAAUGCCGCGUGUGUGAAGAAGGCCUUCGGGUUGUAAAGCACUUUUGUCCGGAAAGAAAUCCUUGGCUCUAAUACAGUCGGGGGAUGACGGUACCGGAAGAAUAAGCACCGGCUAACUACGUGCCAGCAGCCGCGGUAAUACGUAGGGUGCAAGCGUUAAUCGGAAUUACUGGGCGUAAAGCGUGCGCAGGCGGUUUGCUAAGACCGAUGUGAAAUCCCCGGGCUCAACCUGGGAACUGCAUUGGUGACUGGCAGGCUAGAGUAUGGCAGAGGGGGGUAGAAUUCCACGUNUAGCAGUGAAAUGCGUAGAGAUGUGGAGGAAUACCGAUGGCGAAGGCAGCCCCCUGGGCCAAUACUGACGCUCAUGCACGAAAGCGUGGGGAGCAAACAGGAUUAGAUACCCUGGUAGUCCACGCCCUAAACGAUGUCAACUAGUUGUUGGGGAUUCAUUUCCUUAGUAACGUAGCUAACGCGUGAAGUUGACCGCCUGGGGAGUACGGUCGCAAGAUUAAAACUCAAAGGAAUUGACGGGGUCAUAGCUGUUUCCU